GGCCAUGGUGUUGUUGGCCAUGGUGUUGUCCAUGGCGCCGUCCCCAUCCCUGCACAGCACCUCAUGGGUCUGGAGCCUCUUGACGUGGAUGAAGCUCUUCCCGCAGUGCCGGCAGCCCAGGCCCCGGCGGCCCCGGUGCAGCUUCAGGUGGAAGGUGAGUGCCGGUGCCGAGGCGAAGGCACGGCCACAGAGCCCACAGCCGAGGGGGGGGGGCGAGGAGGGGGAUGGUGGAGCCAAUGGGGCCGAGGAUGGGGAUGGUGGAGCCAUUGGGGUCAAUGAUGGGGAUGGUGGAGCCAUUGGGGUCAAUGAUGGGGAUGGUGGAGCCAACGGGGUCAAUGAUGGUGAUGGUGGAGUCAAUGGGGUUAAUGAUGGUGAUGGUGGAGCCAAUGGGGUCAAGGAUGGGGUCAAUGGAGUCAACGACGGUGAUGCUGAUGUCAAUGGAGUCAACGAUGACGUCAGUGAUGAUGUCACCGGUGAUGGUGUUGAUGACGAUGCCAACGGUGCCAAAGAUGAUGAUGUCAAUGAUGACGUCAAUGGUGCCAAUGAUGCUGCAGCUGCCGCCAACGGUGCCAAAGCUGCUGCUGCCGCCGCCAAUGGUGAUGAUGAUGACGAUGAUGACGUCAACGCCAACGGUGUCAAUGGAGCCAAUGGUGCUGCUGCUGCUGAUGACGUCACUGCCAAUGGCGUCACCGAUGAUGGCGUCAAUGGGGUCAGCGGUACCGCGGCUGCGGAUGCCAAUGGUGUCAAUGGUGCCAAUGAGGGCGAUGAUGACGCUGAUGACGUCAACGCCAAUGGUGUCAAUGGAGCCAACGAUGGUGACGACACCGAUGACGUCAAUGCCAAUGGUGCCAAUGAGGGCGAUGAUGACGCUGAUGACGUCAAUGCCAAUGGUGUCAACGGUGCCAACGAUGGUGAUGAUGAUGACGUCAAUGCCAAUGGUGUCAAUGGUGUCAACGAUGGUGAUGACGACACCGAUGACGUCAACGCCAAUGGUGUCAAUGGUGCCAACGAUGGUGAUGACGUCAAUGCCAACGGUGUCACUGACGUUGAUGCCGAUGGCGUCGACGAUGAUGACGUCAUCCCCGAGCGCGUUGCCGAUGAUGACGUCAGCGCCAUUGGUGCUUCCGAUGAUGAUGACGUCAGCGCCACGGGGGCCAUUGGUGCCAAUGACGACGAUGCCGAUGACGUCACCGAUGACGUCAGCGCCAUUGGUGCCGA
rnacentral:lncRNA from 14 species